CGGGAGGCAGCAGUAGGGAAUAUUGGGCAAUGGGAGCAAUCCUGACCCAGCCAUGCCGCGUGCAGGAAGACGGCGCUAUGCGUUGUAAACUGCUUUUGUGCGGGAAUAAAAUAUGCUACUAGUAGUGUAUUGCAGGUACCGUAAGAAUAAGCAUCGGCUAACUCCGUG
rnacentral:rRNA from 1 species